GUAAUUGAUAUUGUGUAAGCUUCCUUGUUGUUUCCUUUUGUUUUUUAGGAGGGAUUAAGAUGAACAUGUAAAGAGGUUAACUUUCUGGUUUUUGGUUGCAGAGUAUGGUGAUAUUUUAUUUUUAUUUUUUUAAGAGAGAGAGAUGGGUUUACUAGUAGGGCUGAUUUCUUGAUCCCAAGCGUUAUCCAUAAAGAUAAGGCGUUGGGGUAAUCUAGUUCAUUUUUUAUGCAUCAAAUCAUGACUAGUAUUAGAGGAUAUUAUAAGCAGUUGGUUAAAAGUUUAAGCAAGUCCUAAGUAAGUGAAUUUUUAUUACUUCAAGAGUGGUCCUUAAGGGAGUACAACUAGUGAUUGAUACGUAUAAGCAAGGCUAAGCAGAGUAUUAAUUUAGUCAUAAUUGCUCUUGUCAUGAUGGAAG
rnacentral:lncRNA from 1 species